GAUGAACGCUAGCUACAGGCUUAACACAUGCAAGUCGAGGGGCAGCAUUUUUAUAGCAAUAUAAAGAUGGCGACCGGCGCACGGGUGAGUAACACGUAUCCAACCUGCCCAUGUGCCCGGGAUAACUUCUGGAACGGAUGCUAAAACCGGAUAGGUAGCAGACAAGCAUUUGACUGCUAUUAAAGUGGCCUUGGCCAUGAACAUGGAUGGACCUGCGGUGCAUUAGCUGGUUGGUGAGGUAACGGCCCACCAAGGCGACGAUGCAUAGCCGGCCUGAGAGGGCGGACGGCCACAUUGGGACUGAGACACGGCCCAAACUCCUACGGGAGGCAGCAGUAGGGAAUUUUCGUCAAUGGGGGGAAACCCUGAACGAGCAAUGCCGCGUGAGUGAGGAAGGUCUUCGGAAUCGUAAAGCUCUGUUGUAAGAGAAAACGGCACUCAUAGGGAAUGAUGAGUGAGUGAAUGGUAUCUUACCAGAAAGUCACGGCUAACUAC
rnacentral:rRNA from 1 species